UGCAAGUCGAGGGGCAUCAGUUUGGUUUGCUUGCAAACCAAAGCUGGCGACCGGCGCACGGGUGAGUAACACGUAUCCAACCUGCCUCAUACUCGGGGAUAGCCUUUCGAAAGAAAGAUUAAUACCCGAUGGCAUAAUAGAACCGCAUGGUUUGAUUAUUAAAGAAUUUCGGUUGUCGAUGGGGAUGCGUUCCAUUAGGCAGUUGGCGGGGUAACGGCCCACCAAACCAACGAUGGAUAGGGGUUCUGAGAGGAAGGUCCCCCACAUUGGAACUGAGACACGGUCCAAACUCC
rnacentral:rRNA from 1 species